AGCGCAUACGGUGGAUGCCUUGGCAGUCAGAGGCGAUGAAAGACGUGGUAGCCUGCGAAAAGCUUCGGGGAGUCGGCAAACAGACUUUGAUCCGGAGAUCUCUGAAUGGGGGAACCCACCUAGGAUAACCUAGGUAUCUUGUACUGAAUCCAUAGGUGCAAGAGGCGAACCAGGGGAACUGAAACAUCUAAGUACCCUGAGGAAAAGAAAUCAACCGAGAUUCCCUUAGUAGUGGCGAGCGAACGGGGAUUAGCCCUUAAGCUUCAUUGAUUUUAGCGGAACGCUCUGGAAAGUGCGGCCAUAGUGGGUGAUAGCCCCGUACGCGAAAGGAUCUUUGAAGUGAAAUCGAGUAGGACGGAGCACGAGAAACUUUGUCUGAACAUGGGGGGACCAUCCUCCAAGGCUAAAUACUACUGACUGACCGAUAGUGAACCAGUACCGUGAGGGAAAGGCGAAAAGAACCCCGGAGAGGGGAGUGAAAUAGAACCUGAAACCGUAUGCGUACAAGCAGUGGGAGCCUACUUGUUAGGUGACUGCGUACCUUUUGUAUAAUGGGUCAGCGACUUAUAUUCAGUGGCAAGCUUAACCGUAUAGGGUAGGCGUAGCGAAAGCGAGUCUUAAUAGGGCGUUUAGUCGCUGGGUAUAGACCCGAAACCGGGCGAUCUAUCCAUGAGCAGGUUGAAGGUUAGGUAACACUGACUGGAGGACCGAACCCACUCCCGUUGAAAAGGUAGGGGAUGACUUGUGGAUCGGAGUGAAAGGCUAAUCAAGCUCGGAGAUAGCUGGUUCUCCUCGAAAGCUAUUUAGGUAGCGCCUCAUGUAUCACUCUGGGGGGUAGAGCACUGUUUCGGCUAGGGGGUCAUCCCGACUUACCAAACCGAUGCAAACUCCGAAUACCCAGAAGUGCCGAGCAUGGGAGACACACGGCGGGUGCUAACGUCCGUCGUGAAAAGGGAAACAACCCAGACCGCCAGCUAAGGUCCCAAAGUUGUGGUUAAGUGGUAAACGAUGUGGGAAGGCUUAGACAGCUAGGAGGUUGGCUUAGAAGCAGCCACCCUUUAAAGAAAGCGUAAUAGCUCACUAGUCGAGUCGGCCUGCGCGGAAGAUGUAACGGGGCUCAAACCACACACCGAAGCUGCGGGUGUCACGUAAGUGACGCGGUAGAGGAGCGUUCUGUAAGCCUGUGAAGGUGAGUUGAGAAGCUUGCUGGAGGUAUCAGAAGUGCGAAUGCUGACAUGAGUAACGACAAUGGGUGUGAAAAACACCCACGCCGAAAGACCAAGGGUUCCUGCGCAACGUUAAUCGACGCAGGGUUAGUCGGUUCCUAAGGCGAGGCUGAAAAGCGUAGUCGAUGGGAAACAGGUUAAUAUUCCUGUACUUCUGGUUACUGCGAUGGAGGGACGGAGAAGGCUAGGCCAGCUUGGCGUUGGUUGUCCAAGUUUAAGGUGGUAGGCUGAAAUCUUAGGUAAAUCCGGGGUUUCAAGGCCGAGAGCUGAUGACGAGUCGUCUUUUAGAUGACGAAGUGGUUGAUGCCAUGCUUCCAAGAAAAGCUUCUAAGCUUCAGGUAACCAGGAACCGUACCCCAAACCGACACAGGUGGUCGGGUAGAGAAUACCAAGGCGCUUGAGAGAACUCGGGUGAAGGAACUAGGCAAAAUGGCACCGUAACUUCGGGAGAAGGUGCGCCGGCUAGGGUGAAGGAUUUACUCCGUAAGCUCUGGCUGGUCGAAGAUACCAGGCCGCUGCGACUGUUUAUUAAAAACACAGCACUCUGCAAACACGAAAGUGGACGUAUAGGGUGUGACGCCUGCCCGGUGCCGGAAGGUUAAUUGAUGGGGUUAGCGCAAGCGAAGCUCUUGAUCGAAGCCCCGGUAAACGGCGGCCGUAACUAUAACGGUCCUAAGGUAGCGAAAUUCCUUGUCGGGUAAGUUCCGACCUGCACGAAUGGCGUAACGAUGGCGGCGCUGUCUCCACCCGAGACUCAGUGAAAUUGAAAUCGCUGUGAAGAUGCAGUGUAUCCGCGGCUAGACGGAAAGACCCCGUGAACCUUUACUGUAGCUUUGCACUGGACUUUGAGCCUGCUUGUGUAGGAUCUGUCUCUUAUACACAUCU
rnacentral:rRNA from 1 species